rnacentral:rRNA from 1 species
GCACCAGUGGGGAAUAUUGGCCAAUGGGGGCAAUCUUGAUCCAGCCAUACCGCGUGGGUGAAGAAGGCCUUCGGGUUGUAAAGCCCUUUUGUUGGGAAAGAAAUCCAGCUGGCUAAUACCCGGGUGGGAUGACCGGACCCUAAGAAUAAGCACCGGCUAACUUCCUGCCCGCAGCCGCGGGAAUACCAAGGGUGCAAGCGUUACUCCGAAUUACUGGGCGUAAAGCGUGCGUAGGGGGGCGUUUAAGUCCGGUGGGAAAGCCCUGGGCUCCACCUGGGAACUGCAGUGGAUACUGGGCAACUAUAAUGGGGUAAAAGGAAACGGAAUUCCUGGUGUAGCAGUGAAAUGCGUAGAGAUCAUGAGGAACAUCCAUGGCGAAGGGAGCUACCUGGACCAACAUUGACACUGAAGGACCAAAGCGUGGGGAACAAACAGGAUUAAAUACCCUGGUAAUCCACCCCCUAAACCAUGCAAACUGGAUGGUGGGUGCAAUUUGGCACUUAAUAUCUAAACUAACGCGUUAAGUUCCUCGCCUGGGGAAUACGGGCCCAAGACUGAAACUCAAAGGGUUU